CGAUUCUACCGUGGGUCUUUUCCUUCCGCGAGGCGGAGGCCCGAGGCCACCCGUGCAACGACUACCCCUCACUCUGGGAGUGGAAGAGGCGGCGAGUAGAGAGGAAACCCGGUGGAAGGAAAAGCCAGCAUUUUAAAAGCCCAUAUUAAGAAGAGCAGUGGGAAGGAGGUGAUCGAAGACGAGGUUUGCAGUGAGAAAGAUGCCCAUGGACCACUGAGUUUUUCUACCUGUAUUCCCGAACACAACUUCAUUUCUUAACCCGGGCUGUGCUGAUUGGGGAGCUUAUCCAAAGGAGGGCCAGGAGAGGCAGUGACAUGCCUCACUCAGGGCUACCCUGGCUGCUGAGGAUAUGAGCUGAAGCACCUGGAGCUGCUCCUCAUUCCCAUCUUCUUCCUGCUCCUCUGGCCCCUCAGACCCACCAUCUCAACAGGAUGAUCUGGCCAGCAACAGCCCCUUUGAGGACGAGCUUUGACAAGUUCGCUGGGCCUUAUCCUCUAGUUGGGAAGUGCACCUCCAGCACUUGGUGAGAAAGAGUGACCUUAGCAAACUUCGACUGGUCCAUUCACUGCGGGAUCCUCAGGGCUGGGCAGGGAGUCUGGCAUAUCCUAAGCCCAGUGUAGCAGUACAUAAACCCCAUGGAAAAGUGGGUACUUUAACCUCAAGUUUAAGUACAACUAUCAUACAGCGAAGAAUAGUCAUACUGGUUGAUAGGAAGGCUGCUAUAUCCACUCUCUCAUAACAUUUUUUUUGCCCCUCCUCAAAAGAUUUGGAACAAUAAAAAUCAAUUAAUAUA